rnacentral:tRNA from 1 species
AUUCCAUUAGUAUAUUAGUAUAUUUAACUUCCAAUUAAAAGGAUCAAUUAAUUGAAUGGAAUA